rnacentral:rRNA from 1 species
AUUGAACGCUGGCGGCAUGCCUUACACAUGCAAGUCGAACGGUAACGGGCCUUCGGGUGCCGACGAGUGGCGAACGGGUGAGUAAUACAUCGGAACGUGCCCGAUCGUGGGGGAUAACGAGGCGAAAGCUUUGCUAAUACUGCAUACGAUCUACGGAUGAAAGCAGGGGACCGCAAGGCCUUGCGCGGACGGAGCGGCCGAUGGCAGAUUAGGUAGUUGGUGGGAUAAAAGCUUACCAAGCCGACGAUCUGUAGCUGGUCUGAGAGGAUGAUCAGCCACACUGGGACUGAGACACGGCCCAGACUCCUACGGGAGGCAGCAGUGGGGAAUUUUGGACAAUGGGCGCAAGCCUGAUCCAGCCAUGCCGCGUGCAGGAUGAAGGCCUUCGGGUUGUAAACUGCUUUUGUACGGAACGAAAAGCCUUCUUUUAAUACAGGAGGGUCAUGACGGUACCGUAAGAAUAAGCACCGGCUAACUACGUG